rnacentral:rRNA from 1 species
CAGUGGGGAAUAUUGGACAAUGGGCGCAAGCCUGAUCCAGCCAUGCCGCGUGGGUGAAGAAGGCCUUCGGGUUGUAAAGCCCUUUUGUUGGGGAAGAAAUCGUACGGGGUAAUAUCCCGUGCGGAUGACGGUACCCAAAGAAUAAGCACCGGCUAACUUCGUGCCAGCAGCCGCGGUAAUACGAAGGGUGCAAGCGUUACUCGGAAUUACUGGGCGUAAAGCGUGCGUAGGCGGUUCGUUAAGUCUGUCGUGAAAGCCCUGGGCUCAACCUGGGAAUUGCGAUGGAUACUGGCGAGCUAGAGUACGGUAGAGGAUGGUGGAAUUCCCGGUGUAGCGGUGAAAUGCGUAGAGAUCGGGAGGAACACCCGUGGCGAAGGCGGCCAUCUGGACCAGUACUGACGCUGAGGCACGAAAGCGUGGGGAGCAAACAGGAUUAGA